rnacentral:rRNA from 1 species
UAGGGAAUCUUCCGCAAUGGACGAAAGUCUGACGGAGCAACGCCGCGUGAGUGAUGAAGGCUUUCGGGUCGUAAAACUCUGUUGUUAGGGAAGAACAAGUACAAGAGUAACUGCUUGUACCUUGACGGUACCUAACCAGAAAGCCACGGCUAACUACGUGCCAGCAGCCGCGGUAAUACGUAGGUGGCAAGCGUUAUCCGGAAUUAUUGGGCGUAAAGCGCGCGCAGGUGGUUUAGAAAGUCUGAUGUGAAAGCCCACGGCUCAACCGUGUAGGGUCAUUGGAAACUAAUAAACUUGAGUGCAGGAGAGAAAAGUGGAAUUCCUAGUGUAGCGGUGAAAUGCGUAGAGAUUAGGAGGAACACCGGUGGCGAAAGCGGCUUUUUGGCCUGCAACUGACACUGAGGCGCGAAAGCGUGGGGAGCAAACAGG